CCAAAGGAGACUAGAACACUCCUUCAGCCUCCUUGAAAACAUCUUGUGACCAGUCAGAAGGAUGAAGCUCCUGGCACUUUGUGGCUUUUUGUUUGUAUGUCUCCUGUGCCUCAGUGCCUUUGCUGCAGAAGGUCGGGAGGUUAGAAAAGUCUGCUGCUCAGUAGUACCCAAACACAACAAAAAAGCACAUAAAGGUGUAAGUUCCAAAAUGACUCCGAAGAAAAUAAAGAAAUACUGCAGGCCUUGUCCUCAGUUUCUGGUGGCUCCUGGACCCCUUCCACAGCUAAAAUGAGAAGACUGAGAGGAGAGGGAAAGGCAUCUGCCCAUCAACACAUCUUACAGUGCUUCACUUGAUUGAGGGCCCUCCUUUCACAGACAGCACAUGCGUGUAUAUUGCUUUUUGUUUGGGAAAGGCUUCAGUACUGUUUAUUCCUUCACUCAGGCACCUUUGUUUUAUUAAUACUAACCUGGCAGUUAAAGAGUCAGCAAAGUUGUCUGGCUGCCACCAGACUUUGUAUCAGUUGCAUAUUCCUCCACACCAAACAGGGAUUUAGCUCCUCAAGUACCAGGAGGAGAAGAGCUGGUUGAAGAGGUGGCUAAAUCAUGUUGGUUUGCAUUUCUGGGUUACCUAAAAGGUGGUAAAAGGCUGAUGCUAUUGUUUCUAUUUAUCAGUAUACAUGCAUAUUUAACCUUUUCUAUGAAUUAUUUAUUUUGUAUUAACCAAGGGGUUUGCUUGUAUGUAAGCAUAUGAUGGUUUUUCGUCCAGCCUUUGCACAUGGUGUUUGCAAUCCACUUAGAAGCAGAUUUCUACAAAUGAGAAAGAUCUCAUCAUUUAGAAAGGGCUGAGAAAUUGAAUAAGCAGGUUGCUAAAAUAAUGGUAACAGACCAGAUUCAAGUAAGCUGUUCAGUACGUCUUCUGAGGCUAAAUCUGACUUGAAAAUCAAAGUGGCUUGUUCUUUAUCUUCCUAUGGAGUGUCAUCAGGUGGUUAUUAAACAGCAUCCUGAAAAGGUGUUAAAGCUAAACAGAUUUCAUCUCUUCUUCUGAAGCCAGAAGGCAGCUGUUCUUUUAAGACACCUGAGUUGUGUGAUCAACUCAAUAAACAAAACUUACUGGAGCAUGAAAUAAGUGCUAAGAAUAAUACCAAAGGGCUGAAUAAUAGAGAAACUGAAGCAUCCUCUGACACUUCUCUCAUGUAUCUUCUGUCCUUUCCUAACUGUUCUCUGCAUAUGCUGCUAUUUCUCUGCCCGGGGGAGAGUCCUUAAAACAGAAUUACUUGGUUGUUCAUAAAUCUGGUUUUCCUUCUAGUGAAUAUGAGGAGGAGUAGAAAGCUUUUCUGCUGCUGGGCAAAUUGCAAAUAGUAAUUUUUCCCUCAGUACUUGUAGUACUACUCUUUCUCUUAACAUAAUUGCCAGUGUGAUAGAAAUGGCCUCAGUGCCCUUCACAAUUUGGGGGAGUUGAAUGGGAACAGUCAGAGCUGUGUCGUAACGCACACAGACAAAUGCAAUUCCCAUGGGUCAAGUUUAUGGGCCCUUACUCAUGGUCCUGCUCUCAUUGGCAAUGUUUCUAUUGUACUGAGCAAUUGAGCCUAUUUCUGGGUCUUCUGUGUGCUUGUUAUUACUUUAUUUUUGUAUUGGUUUUGAGAUUAGAUAGAUCUGACAUUCAGCUUCCUAUUUUUGAAGAGCUGACCAUGCAUAGCAUUUUUAUAUCAAGGAUAAAGGAGCUGCCAGUCCUCCUCACAAGAUCUCUGAAUCAGGAUGUUGGUGAAGGAACUGUUUCAUUUUCUAUUGCUGGUCAUGAGGCCAACAUAUUUUAUUUCUAUUGUCUUCUAUAGCUUGCAGAAGGAAUCUGUAGAAUAUAAAUGACAAGUAAAUGUAAAAGCUUUUUUGGUAUUAAAUGUGGUUGCAGUAGGCUUUUACUCUGUAAAAUAUGGCUAUGUGUUUACAGCUCUGUAUAAAGCAUUGUUAACAGGUUUGAAGAUUUUGUUCUCCAAUGUGAACUUAAGCCCUUUUAUAUCUGAAAAUGCUGUAUGAUUUUCCUCUCUGCCCUACACCCUCCAGCCAGUGUGUUUCACACUCUCCAAUCCUCCCUCAGGCAAAAUGUUCCCUCUGAUAACAGAAACGUAAGCUACAAAGACCAUUAACACAAUUACAGAAAUACUCUGGGUCUCUGGAGAGAUCCCAGUACAUAAUUUAAUGCACUUAAGUAUUUCUCUAAGUUACCAGAUUGGCCUCAACCCCAGGUUGAGGGCUAUUCAAGUUAAAGAUGCCACUUGUGUGAGGUCCUAGUCUUGGCUGAAGAAACUAAAGCAGGAAUCUCCAAAUUAUUUCAGCGUGGAUUGUGACUGCUGCCCAAAUGCUUUUUCACUUCAUCCAGAGGUAUCAGGAUCUUGUGUGAAGUAAUUCCUCAGCAGAGUUUGACUCUUAUGUACCAGGCCAUUUCCCUAUGUGGUAGAACAGAGGUACAUCUGAUCAUGGUUUCACUUAUAGGUACCUAUUCUUCCUUUUGUUUUCCUUUCAGUGCUAUGCGUAUUUGUUUGGCAUUACCAGAGGAAAAACAUAUUUGCUCAGUGGUUUUUCAAAGUACACAAGCUGUAUGCUUAUAUAAAGUAGUAAAUUUAGCUUAUCCGAGCUGACAAAUGCAUUUUUUGUAUCUUGUGUUUUUGCAUGCAUUUGGCUGUCAGGCAAGAAAAUUGCACAGCCCUUAAGUUCCAAU